AUUGAACGCUGGCGGCAGGCCUAACACAUGCAAGUCGAACGCAGUGGGGACGGGUGAGUAACACGUGGGUAACCUCCCAUCAGAGGGGAUAACACUUGGAAACAGGUGCUAAACUGAUACUGAUGGAUGACCCCGCGGUGCAUUCGCUAGUUGGUGAGGUAACGGCUUACCAAGGCAACGAUGCAUAGCCGACCGGAGAGGGUGAUCGGCCACACUGGGACGGAGACACGGCCCAGACUCCUACGGGAGGCAGCAGUAGGGAAUCUUCGGCAAUGGACGAAAGUCUGACCGAGCAACGCCGCGUGAGUGAAGAAGGUUUUCGGAUCGUAAAACUCUGUUGUUAGAGAAGCGGUAUCUAACCAGAAAGCCACGGCUAACUACGUGCCAGCAGCCGCGGUAAUAC
rnacentral:rRNA from 1 species